rnacentral:rRNA from 1 species
UACGUAGGGACCAAGCGUUGUUCGGAUUUACUGGGCGUAAAGGGCGCGUAGGCGGCGUGGUAAGUCACUUGUGAAAUCUCCGAGCUUAACUCGGAACGGUCAAGUGAUACUGCUGUGCUAGAGUACAGAAGGGGCAAUCGGAAUUCUUGGUGUAGCGGUGAAAUGCGUAGAUAUCAAGAGGAACACCGAUGGCGAAGGCAGCUCGCUGGGACGGGUACUGACGC